rnacentral:misc_RNA from 1 species
UUUCCGUAGGUGAACCUGCGGAAGGAUCAUUAUUGAAUAAACCUGAUUUGGUUGUAGCUGGCCCUUUGGGGGGCAUGUGCACACCCGUCGUCUUUAUCUUUCCACCUGUGCACCUUUUGUAGACCUGAAUGUAACACUUUCCUAGGCAACUCGGUCGGGAUGAAUGCUGUCAGCUUUCCUUGAAUGUCCAGGCCUAUGUUUUCAUAUACCUCAGAGCAUGUAACAGAAUGUAUUAUUGGGCCUUGUGCCUAUAAACUAUAUACAACUUUCAGCAACGGAUCUCUUGGCUCUC